ensembl:lncRNA TCERG1L-AS1 TCERG1L antisense RNA 1
GCCAACCCCACCGGACGGCCAACCCCACCGGGCGUCAACCCCACCGGGCGGCCAACCCCACCUGGCUAGGACCCAGUCCCCGGCUGCUCAGGACCGAGGCUGAGACGGGCGACCAGGACGGGACUGUAUGGCUGCAGGAGGCUACACAGCCUCAGGAGGCUGCUUCUAAGAGGCCCACGUCGCCUGCAUGGGGACGCGCCUGGCUCUCCAGCAUGUGGUCAUUUGAAUUGUACAUGUUUCACUAGGAUGCCUACAGAAAAGUAUACAGAAGAUCUGGAAAAAGUUUUUGAAAUGUUGAAAACUUAGCUACUUUUAAAAUGAAAAAAAUAGCUUUAUAAUUAUCAAAGCAAUAUAUCCCAGUGUAAAUUUUAAAAUAAUUUGCUACAUUAUAGUAAGCAUCUUAUCUCUAUGUGCCCUAUAACAUUAUGUUGUAUAGUUUAAAUAUAUACAAUAAAAUUUAUUUUAAAAAAUA